UACGUAGGGGGCUAGCGUUGUCCGGAAUCAUUGGGCGUAAAGAGCGUGUAGGCGGUCCGGUAAGUCCGCUGUGAAAGUCGGGGGCUCAACCCUCGAAUGCCGGUGGAUACUGUCGGGCUAGAGUGCGGACGAGGCGAGUGGAAUUCCUGGUGUAGCGGUGAAAUGCGCAGAUAUCAGGAGGAACACCUAUUGCGAAGGCAGCUCGCUGGGACGUCACUGACGCUGAGACGCGAAAGCGUGGGGAGCAAACAGG
rnacentral:rRNA from 1 species